GAACUGUGUCUAUCUUCGGUACGUCAUCCGCCACGGGUAUUAACCACGGCGUUUUCUUUCCGGACAAAAGUGCUUUACAACCCGAAGGCCUUCUUCACACACGCGGCAUUGCUGGAUCAGGGUUGCCCCCAUUGUCCAAAAUUCCCCACUGCUGCCUCCCGUAGGAGUCCCCCCGUGCCCCCGCCCCGCCCGCCGCGCGCGGCGGGGAAGGCGG
rnacentral:rRNA from 1 species